UGAAUGUUAGUACCACAAGUGUGAAUGAGGUUUGUGAUGAAACCAUGAAGAUAGUUUAGCCUCCUUCGCAAAAGUCUAUUCCUAAUAUGUCCAUGUUUUUCUGUUCAUAUGGCCAUUUUAUAUAAACACAUAUUCUUGGCCAAAGAUC